GAUGAACGCUGGCGGCGUGCCUAAUACAUGCAAGUCGAGCGAACAGAUAAGGAGCUUGCUCCUUUGACGUUAGCGGCGGACGGGUGAGUAACACGUGGGUAACCUACCUAUAAGACUGGAAUAACUCCGGGAAACCGGGGCUAAUGCCGGAUAACAUUUAGAACCGCAUGGUUCUAAAGUGAAAGAUGGUUUUGCUAUCACUUAUAGAUGGACCCGCGCCGUAUUAGCUAGUUGGUAAGGUAACGGCUUACCAAGGCAACGAUACGUAGCCGACCUGAGAGGGUGGUCGGCCACACUGGAACUGAGACGCGGUCCAGACUCCUACGGGAGGCAGCAGUAGGGAAUCUGCCGCAAUGGGCGAAAGCCUGACGGAGCAACGCCGCGUGAGUGAUGAAGGUCUUCGGAUCGUAAAACUCUGUUAUUAGUGAAGAACAAAUGUGUAAGUAACUGUGCACGUCUUGACGGUACCUAAUCAGAAAGCCACGGCUAACUACGUG
rnacentral:rRNA from 1 species